AACAAUGACAAUUACCUCCCCUCCUUAAAGAAAGCACAGCCGUCCUAUAUGGAAGUUCAGAAGGGAAGCCAUCUGCACGCCGUAAAUUAGUCUGAGGGAUGCCAUAGGGAAGAGAGAAGAGAUAAAUAGUGGUGCCAACUAGAGAGGUUCCUUCUGAGUUGGCUCUUUAUAACAGGGCUUGCUCUGUGUAACUAUCUAUCUAAGAACCGGGUGUGUUCAGAAUAUCAAAAACAACCACAUAUAUAGUAGCUGUAAAAACUUCCACAGCCCAAAUGGGACAGCUCGGUCAGCGCAGUGUUACUCAAGCACGGCCCACACACUGCCUGUGAGGACUGGGGCCAGCUGCACGACAGUGGGGGAGUACACAGCCUGGCAAGGUCGCCUGGGCCCAGGGGAGAAAAAUCAAGGACAGGGUUUCCAACACCUGAACUUAAAAAAAUGUUUGCUAACCUGGUGCCUCCACUUACUGUGCCCACAGGUCAGCUCCUGCCACAGAAACUUUGAAUCUGGCUCCUCUCCCAGUUCCCAAAAGAGGGGUCUUUUUCUUCCAGCCCUGGAAGGAACUUCAGUCUCACAGGGAUAACACAAAUGAACAAGACCCAUCAUAUCCCGUGUUGGUUAGAGUGUAGGAAAAGAGGCUCCAUAUACCCCACGGAUGGGAGUGAAAACCGAUACAGCUCUUUCGUAGGGCAUCAGAAAAUACGCAUGAUCUUCAGCCUAACAGGUACUAACUCAGAGACCUGAUCGGUUCCAAGAGCGGGGAAAGCAGCUGUCACAUCAGCCCGAAGCUUUCUCCUGCAGAAAGUACACCAAUACCUGGUAUGAAUGCUGCCUGGAUGGAGUUUAAUAAAUACUGAG